CCAAGGAUGGAAAUUAGAAGCUCCAGGCUGGACACUGGAAGCCCCAGACUGGACAUUGGAAGCCCCAGGCUGGACAUUGGAAGCCCCAGGCUGGACACUGGAAGCCCCAGACUGGACAUUGGAAGCCCCAGGCUGGACACUGGAAGCCCCAGGCUGGACACUGGAAGCCCCAGGCUGGACACUGGAAGCCCAGACUGGACACUGGAAGCCCCAGGCUGGACAUUGGAAGCCCCAGGCUGGACAUUGGAAGCCCCAGGCUGGACAUUGGAAGCCCCAAUCUGGACAUUGGAAGCCCCAGGCUGGACAUUGGAAGCCCAGGCUGGACAUUGGAAGCCCCAGGCUGGACAUUGGAAGCCCCAGACUGGACAUUGGAAGCUCCAGGCUAGACAUUAGAAGCUCCAAUCUGGACACUGGAAGCCCCAGGCUGGACACUGGAAGCUCCAAUCUGGACAUUAGAAGCCCCAAUCUGGACAUUAGAAGCCCCAAUCUGGACAUUAGAAGCCCCAGACUGGACAUUAGAAGCUCCAUUCUGGACAUUGGGAAGCUCCAGGCAGGAC
ensembl:lncRNA